GGUUAAGCGACUAAGCGUACACGGUGGAUGCCCUGGCAGUCAGAGGCGAUGAAGGACGUGCUAAUCUGCGAAAAGCGUCGGUAAGGUGAUAUGAACCGUUAUAACCGGCGAUGUCCGAAUGGGGAAACCCAGUGCAAUUCGUUGCACUAUCGUUAACUGAAUACAUAGGUUAACGAGGCGAACCGGGGAACUGAAACAUCUAAGUACCCCGAGGAAAAGAAAUCAACCGAGAUUCCCCCAGUAGCGGCGAGCGAACGGGGAGCAGCCCAGAGUCUGAAUCAGCUUGUGUGUUAGUGGAACGGUCUGGAAAGUCCGACGGUACAGGGUGAUAGUCCCGUACACCAAAAUGCACAGGCUGUGAACUCGAAGAGUAGGGCGGGACACGUGGUAUCCUGUCUGAAUAUGGGGGGACCAUCCUCCAAGGCUAAAUACUCCUGACUGACCGAUAGUGAACCAGUACCGUGAGGGAAAGGCGAAAAGAACCCCGGCGAGGGGAGUGAAAAAGAACCUGAAACCGUGUACGUACAAGCAGUGGGAGCACCUUCGGGUGUGACUGCGUACCUUUUGUAUAAUGGGUCAGCGACUUAUAUUCUGUAGCAAGGUUAACCGUAUAGGGGAGCCGCAGGGAAACCGAGUCUUAACUGGGCGUUAAGUUGCAGGGUAUAGACCCGAAACCCGGUGAUCUAGCCAUGGGCAGGUUGAAGGUUGGGUAACACUAACUGGAGGACCGAACCGACUAAUGUUGAAAAAUUAGCGGAUGACUUGUGGCUGGGGGUGAAAGGCCAAUCAAACCGGGAGAUAGCUGGUUCUCCCCGAAAGCUAUUUAGGUAGCGCCUCGUGAAUUCAUCUUCGGGGGUAGAGCACUGUUUCGGCUAGGGGGUCAUCCCGACUUACCAACCCGAUGCAAACUACGAAUACCGAAGAAUGUUAUCACGGGAGACACACGGCGGGUGCUAACGUCCGUCGUGAAGAGGGAAACAACCCAGACCGCCAGCUAAGGUCCCAAAGUCAUGGUUAAGUGGGAAACGAUGUGGGAAGGCACAGACAGCCAGGAUGUUGGCUUAGAAGCAGCCAUCAUUUAAAGAAAGCGUAAUAGCUCACUGGUCGAGUCGGCCUGCGCGGAAGAUGUAACGGGGCUAAACCAUGCACCGAAGCUGCGGCAGCGACACUAUGUGUUGUUGGGUAGGGGAGCGUUCUGUAAGCCUGCGAAGGUGUGCUGUGAGGCAUGCUGGAGGUAUCAGAAGUGCGAAUGCUGACAUAAGUAACGAUAAAGCGGGUGAAAAGCCCGCUCGCCGGAAGACCAAGGGUUCCUGUCCAACGUUAAUCGGGGCAGGGUGAGUCGACCCCUAAGGCGAGGCCGAAAGGCGUAGUCGAUGGGAAACAGGUUAAUAUUCCUGUACUUGGUGUUACUGCGAAGGGGGACGGAGAAGGCUAUGUUAGCCGGGCGACGGUUGUCCCGGUUUAAGCAUGUAGGCUGGUUGUCCAGGCAAAUCCGGAUAAUCAAGGCUGAGGUGUGAUGACGAGGCACUACGGUGCUGAAGUAACAAAUGCCCUGCUUCCAGGAAAAGCCUCUAAGCAUCAGGUAACAUCAAAUCGUACCCCAAACCGACACAGGUGGUCAGGUAGAGAAUACCAAGGCGCUUGAGAGAACUCGGGUGAAGGAACUAGGCAAAAUGGUGCCGUAACUUCGGGAGAAGGCACGCUGGUGUGUAGGUGAAGCCCCUGCGGGUGGAGCUGAGACCAGUCGAAGAUACCAGCUGGCUGCAACUGUUUAUUAAAAACACAGCACUGUGCAAACACGAAAGUGGACGUAUACGGUGUGACGCCUGCCCGGUGCCGGAAGGUUAAUUGAUGGGGUUAUCCGUAAGGAGAAGCUCUUGAUCGAAGCCCCGGUAAACGGCGGCCGUAACUAUAACGGUCCUAAGGUAGCGAAAUUCCUUGUCGGGUAAGUUCCGACCUGCACGAAUGGCGUAAUGAUGGCCAGGCUGUCUCCACCCGAGACUCAGUGAAAUUGAACUCGCUGUGAAGAUGCAGUGUACCCGCGGCAAGACGGAAAGACCCCGUGAACCUUUACUAUAGCUUGACACUGAACAUUGAACCUUGAUGUGUAGGAUAGGUGGGAGGCUUUGAAGCGUGGACGCCAGUCUGCGUGGAGCCAACCUUGAAAUACCACCCUUUAAUGUUUGAUGUUCUAACGUUGGCCCCUGACCGGGGUUGCGGACAGUGUCUGGUGGGUAGUUUGAGGGGGCGGUCUCCUCCCAAAGCGUAACGGAGGAGCACGAAGGUUAGCUAAUCCUGGUCGGACAUCAGGAGGUUAGUGCAAUGGCAUAAGCUAGCUUGACUGCGAGCGUGACGGCGCGAGCAGGUGCGAAAGCAGGUCAUAGUGAUCCGGUGGUUCUGAAUGGAAGGGCCAUCGCUCAACGGAUAAAAGGUACUCCGGGGAUAACAGGCUGAUACCGCCCAAGAGUUCAUAUCGACGGCGGUGUUUGGCACCUCGAUGUCGGCUCAUCACAUCCUGGGGCUGAAGUAGGUCCCAAGGGUAUGGCUGUUCGCCAUUUAAAGUGGUACGCGAGCUGGGUUUAGAACGUCGUGAGACAGUUCGGUCCCUAUCUGCCGUGGGCGCUGGAGAAUUGAGGGGGCUGCUCCUAGUACGAGAGGACCGGAGUGGACGCAUCACUGGUGUUCGGGUUGUCAUGCCAAUGGCACUGCCCGGUAGCUAAAUGCGGAAGAGAUAAGUGCUGAAAGCAUCUAAGCACGAAACUUGCCCCGAGAUGAGUUCUCCCUGAGACUUUAAGUCUCCUGAAGGAACGUUAAAGACGAUGACGUUGAUAGGCCGGGUGUGUAAGCGCAGCGAUGCGUUGAGCUAACCGGUACUAAUGAACCGUGAGGCUUAACCUU
rnacentral:rRNA from 1 species